rnacentral:rRNA from 1 species
GACGAACGCUGGCGGCGCGCUUAACACAUGCAAGUCGAACGGAAAGGCCUGCUUUCCCUUGUGGAUUGCGGGUACUCGAGUGGCGAACGGGUGAGUAACACGUGAGUGAUCUGCCCCCAACUUGGGUAUAAGCCUGGGAAACUGGGUCUAAUUCCCGAUAGGACUGCAGGGUGGUGCCUGUGGUGGAAAACGAUUUUCUAGUGGUUGGGGAUGAGCUCGCGGCCUAUCAGCUUGUUGGUGGGGUAAUGGCCUACCAAGGCGGCGACGGGUAGCCGGCCUGAGAGGGUGGACGGGCACAUUGGGACUGGGAUACGGCCCAGACUCCUACGGGAGGCAGCAGUGGGGAAUAUUACACAAUGGGCGGAAGCCUGAUGCAGCGACGCCGCGUGGGGGAUGACGGCCUUCGGGUUGUAAACUCCUUUCGACCGCGAGGAAGCCACCUGGUUGGAAGGGUGGUGACGGUAGUGGUAGAAGAAGCACCGGCUAACUACGUG